rnacentral:rRNA from 1 species
CCCAAGAGAUCGGGAUAACACCUGGAAACAGAUGCUAAUACCGGAUAACAACAGAUGAUGCCUAUCAACUGUUUAAAAGAUGGUUCUGCUAUCACUCUUGGAUGGACCUGCGGUGCAUUAGCUAGUUGGUAGGGUAACGGCCUACCAAGGCGAUGAUGCAUAGCCGAGUUGAGAGACUGAUCGGCCUACAUUGGGACUGAGACACGGCCCAAACUCCUACGGGAGGGCAGCAGCUG